rnacentral:rRNA from 1 species
UACGUAGGGCGCGAGCGUUGUCCGGAAUUAUUGGGCGUAAAGAGCUCGUAGGCGGCCUGUUGCGUCCGCUGUGAAAUCCCAGGGCUCAACCCUGGGCGUGCAGUGGAUACGGGCAGGCUGGAGGCAGGCAGGGGAGAACGGAAUUCCCAGUGUAGAGGUGAAAUUCGUAGAUAUUGGGAAGAACACCGGUGGCGAAGGCGGCGACCUGGUCCUUGACUGACGCUGAGGCGCGAAAGCGUGGGGAGCAAACAGG